CGUUGCCCGUCGUGCAUCCCUGACAGGCACCAAGCAAUGGAAGCACGAACGGGCUUUUUGGUGCGAGUUCUUUAUGGGCAAAUGCUUCAUAUAUACCAGCAUCAGACGCAGGAAGCACACCGGGCGUGCCUCUUCGAACUUUCACCAUCACCCCCGAUUCGUGUGACUCGCCAGGCGAGAAAAGAUCAGCUGUCAAUUGUGGUGGCAUGUGGAACACAGGAAUUAACGUUGUUGACGUGACACGUUCUUGCAACGAUGGUGGAAGACAAUCUUCGGCAACCCGAGGGAAGGUCUCGCAAAACGCGUCAAAUUUCAUCAGGAUCGUGAGCUGGGAAGGCUGAUAAACGAAUGAGAGCGAGCUAUCAGGUUGAUACAACGUUUCAACAUGCUGAAAAGCGGGAACCGGAAAAAAAUCGCUCGUACUUAUGAACAUCAUCGGAAAAUUUCGGAAGUCUUACAAAAGUUUAUAUUCCCAAGGCACCACAAAUUUUGAAGCUCCACGAUUGAAUGCAUUCUUGUUCCCGCGUCGCGAUGUGGUAGUUUGCAGGUUGCGGGUGGCUCACUUUCUUUUCCCUCGUUACACAGAGACCCAGAUAAUUCAUUUGCCGCGGAAAUAUCGAAGCUGUCGCUUCUAUUCUGUAGCACGUGCGCUCAGAAGUCCGUCUUACGAUUUACACAUGUUUCAAGCAAUACAUCGGACAGAAGGUACACGGGAGUAAGAAAUUGAAACCGUGCCACUCACGUGGCGCGGUGAGUUUGCCACUCGAUAGCUCGAAGAGACUGUCUUCGUAAGUAGAGAGGCUCUGGAUGUGUCAGAUCAACUGUUUCUGCACAUGCGCACGGGAGUGACAAAACAUCAUCCUUGCUGUCCUGUGGUGGGACUUUGCCGAGCCGUAACCUAAUUUUAUUUGCACCUUCCGUGAAGUACGUCGCAUGCCGUGUCCUCUUCCAAGAAAACAGCCGAGGCACACCGGCACAAAUACGUGCCAUCCAUUUCCGUAAAAUCACCUGGGUUCCUCUUCAUUUCCCGAUGGAUGUCCAAAGUAACCGGAGGAGGGCGGCGGACAUAAUUACUAUCUUGGGUGCCUUUCUGUUCUCCUUCCUUACACAUCUAGCAUCCCUAGCGACUGUGACUACCACUGUGGUCAACAGCAAAUGCUAGUAAAGGCCCGCUCCACAACAUGUCAACUAUUGUCGGAUGUACUUUGAUCUCCGACCUCGCAUCGUAAAUCCUCGAAUGCCAUUCGCAGUGCACUAACAUGCGAUGAUAUUAGGAGUCCAAAUUCCUGCGGUAAUUUGUGUAUUCUACAUAUUGGAGAGGUCGUCUGGUACGUUACAGUGUUUCUGGUUUAGUCAUGGUACUAUGGUUUUGUCCAAAUGGUUGUCUUGCUUUUUGUCCAGAGAAGCACAGCACGUCACAGGACACGGCACAAUAUGCCUCUGGCUACGUUAAUCAGGAUGCCGGCUGCCUGUCGGCACUUUCAUCUUUUGACGGCAUACAAAACUAUACUUCUUAUUUUGUCUUGGCGAGGAGUCGGAGAGCCUGGAAGGCGGUAGGUGGGUAGAGGAGGCCCAGUUUUGCUCGGUGAUUCGGCCUAGAAUCCCUUAGUAUUAGAGGUGUACUUCGUGCGACAUUAUUGUGCUUUCGACUCAAAGCGUUCGUGCCCACCAAUCACACUGCGACUCCAGCGAGUAGGGACGAGUGUGUGAGGAGGUUCUUUAACCUGCAGGCACUUUGUUGAUUCCGGUGUGGAGCCGACUCUGCGCCCUACGCUGCGGUUGCGACUUACCCCAUAGAUGGCAUAGACUCUGUUUCAAUUUUCAGGGUGGGGCCGUUGGGGCCAACAGCUUUUCAGAGAUAUCAGCACAGUCGAAGUUUCACUGACACUGAAUGAACUGUGCGGCUUCCUCGCACUUGCCAGACUUGUCUGUUGCGCGAUAACACAAUGUACUUGUUUUCCUGUGAGCUGUCAGGCUCAGCAAGGAAGGACAAAGCUGGUGGUGCAUGGCCACAUGGUCGUUUCCCUGCACUGACACGUGCCUUGUCAUUUGGAGCUUCGCAUGCAUGCUCGUUUUCCGUACCUUAUUGAUGGAAUCACAAACAAAAAGCUGGCCACCCAGGCAGAAGCUGAGUUAUGCCUUCUGUAUCCACAAUCUAAAGACUCGUAUUUUUGUCUUCUCGCUCCGGAUAGAGAUUUACCUGCAUUCAUUCAGUACCAUUUCCAGCAACUCCUUGUGUGUUGGAAUGCUUUCUGUAAUUGAAUACCCUGUACUGCGAUUGGGGAUUGCUUUUCGCAAUUUGCUGAGAACCUAUGCUUCCUGCCACUGACAACAUAGGGGAAUCACUUAAUUCAGAAGCU
rnacentral:lncRNA from 1 species